rnacentral:lncRNA from 1 species
AAGUAAACAAGGCCUUAUCACAAUUCACAAGGAGUAAAAAUUUGGAUGGUUAGUUCUAUGAAAUUUUAAGGUGAUAUAUGUGGAUCCUUGAACUUGACUAACGACGUCCAGAAACUUGCAAAGUGGUCCCUGCGGUUUCUAAACUUGGCUAAUUAUGUUUCUCAACCUUAAACUUUAUUUUGAGUCUUAUCUGGGUCUAAACUAUAAGCCACUCUACAUGUUGAUGUGGCAAUGUUAACUGCAAGUUAUACGUGGACCUAACACACAAAAUAUAUCUAUAUUUUUUUGGAGGAGUUAAAUUUACAUGAAUCCCUGAAUUUGGCCAACAGUGUUACCACGAUCCACAAAUUGACUUAUAGGUCCCACUAAUAUCCAAUGGUUCCUUAGACUUUUGUCGAGAUGAUGGACAUAUGUAAAAGAAAAUAGUCUACCUUUUCUCCUCAAACUUUCAUGGCUUUUCCUUUCUCAACUUCAAAAAACGAGCAAACCGUCUCCCUCAACUUUUCAAAUCACGCAUUUUACCUCUUAGGGCAGUUUUGAAGGCGGUUUUACUAUAGUGAAUGGUGGUUUUGCUACUGUAAUAGUGAUUUUGCCUUUUUUUUCUUUUUUUAUUUAUUUUGACUAAAAUUUUGAAAUCACAUAAAAAUCAUAAAAUAGAAAAUUUGUUGGACUUCACAUGAGUAGAUCUACACGGUGAACAUAUAAUGUGGAAUGCUUUAGUAUAAAUUUUUUGCUAUGAAGGUUUUAUCUUUUUCUUUUUUAAAAAAAUUAUUCCGGCUGAGUAUUUGAAAAAUCAUAGUAAAUAAAAAAACAUAAAAUGGAAAAUAUAAUUUUGUUAGACUCCAUAUGAGCAUAUCUACAAAAUGAACAUAUAAUAUCUACACUUCCCGAAAUAAUUAAAAAAAAGACAAAAUCACUCUGUAAUAAAACCACCAUUCACUGUAGA